rnacentral:rRNA from 1 species
CUAAGAAUAUUCCGCAAUGGACGGAAGUCUGACGGAGCGACGCCGCGUGGAUGAAGAAGGCCGAAAGGUUGUAAAGUUCUUUUGCUGGGGAAGAAUAACCGCAGGAGGGAAUGCCUGUGGGAUGACAAGAACCGGCGAAUAAGCCCCGGCCAACUACGUGCCAGCAGCCGCGGUAACACGUAGGGGGCGAGCGUUGUUCGGAAUUACUGGGCGUAAAGGGCAUGUAGGCGGCUUGGAAAGCCUGGCGUGAAAGUCUGCAGCUUAACUGCAGGGGUGCGCUGGGAACUGCUGAGCUUGAGUGACGGAGAGGGAGCUGGAAUUCCUGGUGUAGGGGUGAAAUCUGUAGAUAACAGGAAGAACACCGAUGGCGAAGGCAAGCUCCUGGCCGAUGACUGACGCUGAGGUGCGAAAGUGUGGGGAUCAAACA